CUCCUCUCCUGUGGAGCAUUGAGCCCCAUGAAGGAGGCUAUGGGAGACAACUGAAAUACCAACCAGAGCUACACAGUUACAUCCUAAGCUCUGCUUGCCUUUUCUUCACUGAGUUAUCAUCUUAAAUAAGCACGUAAACUAGAGAGAAUGCUAGUAUUCUGCAGAGAAUAUGAGUGAUUCCACUAUUUUGGGGGCUCCCCUUGACUCAUGAUGUGUGACGUUGACAUCUCUCCCCCAUUCGAGCUUUGGGAAGAACGGUAUUGACCUGUAGCUCAGUCUUUGCAUGGACUACGUGGAUUGAAGAUCUCCUUGCUCAGUAACAAGCCACUUCGUUUUCAGAUUUGAAGAAAAAGAAAUGUAAUAUGAAAAGCUGGUAGCUCCAUUAUCCAGAGCAUGAUGGAUUGGAGGGACUGCAUGCUGGAAAAAGCAAGAAAUCUGCUAAGGAGCCAUUCACUAAUUGCAGCAUUUUCAUCAGACUACAUUUUCUAUGAGUUCUAGACACCUACUCAGAUCAGUGAGGCCAAGGCUCCCAGGUGAGGAUUUGGGGAAGCAAUUCCUGCCAGACACCAUGAUGCAGAAAGCCCCUGGGGAUGCCCUCUUCCAUCAAACCUUGCACAUUAACCAACUGCAAGGAAUGUGCUGCUGAUCCCAAGUGAUGGUGUCACACUGUGAUUGAUGGAGUAGGCAUAGGAUGGUGCAGGCUGGGAGCUGCCAAAAAUCUUAGGAGGACCUUAGUAUCAACCUGCACGCUCUUCCAUGAGGUCUGGAUUGAUGAGGUGGAGGCAUACAUCAGCGUUCUGCAGCCAAGCUACUCAGAACACAUCACAAGACCUCGAAAUGACAUAUUUAUUUCCUAAAGCCUGUCGCCCCUCAGGUUGGCUUUCCCUGCUAGUGACUGGAAGCUCCAACAGCAGCAAGUGGCCUGCCUUAUACCCUUUUACCUCUGACGAUCGAGCCAUCUUUGGUAGGGAGUGCCAUACUUGCAUGUACUCCUCACAGCAACAGAGAGGCUGCAGGGAAGAAGCAAGCCAGGCAAAUCUUGGCAGAUUAUGAAGAAGCUAUGUGAGUACUCUGAUUCAGUGCAGGACAGACACAGGAGUGGUAUAGGCUUCAGAAAUAAGCUUGUGUGCUAUCCAGCUACCCUUUAUUCAGUACUGGUCCUUCUGAGGCAAGUGAUUUGGCUAUAGCCAAAUUCUUUGCUGCCCUCUUUGUGUGGUGAAGGUUCAAGAAUGCAGAGGCUGUUUCCUCCGAACAAGGUCCCAGGGAAGAAAUUCAGCUACAAACAAUGCAGUUGUAUGUAGUUUCCUUCUUGGACAUUUCCCCAUGGAAGUGGAGAACUUUUCUGUCUGAAGAAAUAUAAGCAAGCACAUUUUAUUAUCUGAAGUACUGUGGCUGUAUUUGAACACUAUCCCCUCUCACUCCCUCACUCCCCUGGUUAUAAUUUUCUGAGAUUCUGUCACAGCUUUUUCAUAACACCUGUUUUUGAUUGGUCUAAUUUUAACAGGGCCACGUAGAGCACAGCCAUAGGGAUAAUCAAAUGUCCUGCUUUAUGGUCUCAACUCAAUUCAGCAAGUAUUUUGUUAAUAUGCAGUGUGUGUUUGCCUAUAGUAAUAACAUUUAUAAUCAGAUCAAAUAAUCUUUUGCAGUUGUAAUACAUUCUUGGGAGGAUAUUUAAAUAUAGGUUCCCUGGAGAGUUGCUGGGAUAAUGUUGUAAAUAGAAAGGGCUCAUUCUCAUAAUAUUGUCCAAAGUUCCUUCACUGCCUACAUAAAUUUGUUUUUUCCCCAACUACUUAAAGGGAACAUUUUGACUAAGUAAAAUACCGAGUUAAAAUUAUAUACUUAUAUGCUUUACUCAAGAUUGAAACUUUGAAAUUACUAUUAUUUUGUAUGUUAUAAUACUGUGUGUUGAUAUUAGUGUGUUAAUUGGCCAUCUUCAUGUUGUGCUUGAGCUCAGGCACCUCUCAAAAGGUCAAGAUGUUGAUCCUGUCCUCACAACUGCUCCUGGGAGAGUGGAUAAGAACCUGUCAGACUGUGAGGGCAAUAGGAUUUCUGGUGACUCUUCAGGAAACCUGUUAAAACUAGUGUCAUUUUUUCUCAUUUUCAUGUUGUUUCCAGUCUUCUUUGCCAUGGCAUUUGUCUCUUUUUCUUGCUUGCUAGACUGCCCCAUGGUGCUACAAUGUUUGUGGUGUCAGCUCUGGUGGGCAUGAUGCAGAUAUCGUGAAUGUGUGUCAGUGGGGAGAGGAGACAAAGGACUUUGACCCAACUUACCUAUCAGACUGCAAGGAAAGUGUCCUGGCUAUCCUUCCUUCUCUGAGUUUCUUGGAGUACAUCUUCUGCCGAGUCAUGUAAGAAAACUCUGCAUCUUUCCUCAUUACCUUGUGGCUG